GGUUAUAGCUCAGUGGUAGAGCACUAGCCUCACACAUGCAAGGCCCUGGGUUCAAUCCUCAGCACCA
rnacentral:tRNA from 1 species